UAUUGAGUAUAAGAACUAGAACCGCAAUCGGU
rnacentral:sRNA from 1 species